GCCAGGCAUUGUGGCAGGUGCCUGUAAUCCCAACUACUUGGGAGGCUGAGGCAGGAGAAUCGCUUGAACCCAGGAGGCAGAGGUUGCAGUGAGCUGAGAUCAUGCCACUGCACUCCAGCCUGGGUGACAGAGCGAGACUCUGUCUCAA
rnacentral:sRNA from 1 species